GACGGUGAUCGUGCGAGGAAUUUUGUUUAUUAUUUAUCUCCCCCGUUCCUCCGACAUUCGGGCAUUGAUAAAACGAUUGAAGAAAAAAAAAAAUAUCGCAAAAUUAUUGUACGCAAAAAAACAUCAGCCCUCAAUGGCAAAUGCUAAAAAUAAUUGUGCAAUCAUCUCCGUUCUGCAUUCGAGUUCAUUGUCGUCGUGUUCGUCUUCGUCGCGAAAAUUGUGGGUGUGAGUUUAAGUAAAUUGGGAAUUGUUCCGAGGUGAGUGCGUCCGGAAGAGGUGUGGCUCUGAUCCGUGACCGGGGGAAGAACCGUCCUGGCGAUGGAUGAUGUGGACACGUCCGCUUUUGCGGAGCUACGCGACAAAAACGAAAUCAUCGCCAAAUAUCUGGAACAGCUGAAUCAGCUCAAGGAGCUGGCCGCCAACCGGGGCCGGAUCAACGAAACGGAAUUCAACAACUACCUGGUCCGGCACUACUUCCACAACAACAAUAUCAUCAACUACAUCUUCGAUAAGAACACCAGCCGGAUUCUGCUCAAGACGGUCAUCGACCGGAAGAAGAAAAUCAUCAACUUUAUCUUUGUGCUGCUGACGUUGUUCAUCGUUUUCUCCUACAAGCACGAAGUCUCGACGGUGGUCCUCCGGAACAUCCAGAGUCUGAUCUAUCCGGGGAUGCGGGUGUGGCGGAAGGUGACGGUGCCCAUCAUUGCCAACUAUCCGUCGCUGACCGAGCUGUACGACGAGAGUUGCCUCCUGACGAAUCCGUACUUCCAGGUGGAGAAUCUGAACUGCGAUCCGUGCGCGGACGUGGCCAACGUGCUGGAUCUGACCAACAUCGACCAUGUGGCGGUCAAUUAUCCGUAUAUUUUUAAGACCCAGAAAGAGCUAGUCGACAUCAGCCGGUUGCAGGUGCUGUACGACCAGAACCGUGCCAUUUUCACCAAGGAUGCGUACAAAAUCCAGUCGACGCAUCCGGACAUUCGCAACCUGGACGACUUGUUCCGACAGUUUGUGAACGCUAGUCAGCACGUGGAGAGCCACAGCGUUUGGCGCUGCAAUCGGAUGGCCCCGGCCAGGUUGCUCCGGUCGGUCUUUCCCCGACCGGCACGGCUUCCAGCGACUGGGGUCAGCCUGGAGCGGUACCUGAUAGUGGACACACCGCAGGCGCUGCCGUACCGCAUUCCGGACGCCGAGUGUGCCAACGUGUUCGUCAUCCAGGGCUCCGGCAGCCGGACGUUUCUGCUUCGUCCGACGCAGGAGUGCCGACACCGGUGCCGAACCCUGUCCGUUCGGCUUCCCGCCAAUUACGGAUUAAUCUACAACUGGUGGUACUGGAAGCCGAUAUCGCUUCCGGAGCAGUACGCCAAAGCGCCCUCCGUCAGCUACAUCGGAUCGUACUGCUGAACAGCGAAAAACCCCCAACGGGACGCCACCUCACCGAAGCCAAAAUGCGCAUUCAGAAGGAAGAACAAUAGGCAAUCGGCUGCUGGCAGCGGUACAGAACUUGGAACUUCAACAGCGACUGCUCAGCGGAUCAGCGGAUGACCAAUUUAAGUGUUGUGACCACCCCGAGUAAACCAAAAGCGCUAUUUCCGUGCUAUUUAAGUGAAAUGAUAUUACACCUUGACUGAAAACCCCGAAACAUUAGUUCUAGGCUUAAGGCUCCAUACUUUUUUAUCCUUCCUCGAUUGUUUUCAUUUGUGUUGGAACAAUGCCAAAAACUAACCCCAAAAUAAAUCGAAAACGAUACAAAUGCAUGCAUGAAAAACUAAAAGUAAAAAGUGAAGAACUGCGAAUAGACGAUGCUUCCUGUUUUAGACGAAAUGAAUGGUGAAAAAAUGCCAUACGAAUACUUCAAUUACUAUAGCAGUUUUAGUGGAAGUGAAAAACCCCGUGAAUUCAAAGUAGUAGGAGUAACGAACCGAUGUAUGUGUGAUACUUCUAAUUAACGCCGAAAUGAGACAGAAGAAGUUUUAGAUCAAGUAGAACUGACUAUUGCGUGAAAAAAAAAAGAAAAACAAUACGAGUAGAAUGGUGCAUUUUCUUCCUUCCCACUGAUUACAAGCAAGAACAAGAAUUAAAGAAGAUUAGACUUAAAUCCGAAGUUAAAUAAUAAACCCACACGGAAAUGUAGCGGAUAGCAUUUUCAAACAAACUAUUAAGAAAAUUACGGAUCUACUAAUACAUACACACACAAACACACAUACAGACCGGGUUGUACAUAGAAAGUAGAAGCGCGAUGAAAUGAAAGCGCAAGCACAUAGCGUAUGAUUAUACAUAUAUUUUUUUGCGGUGGAAAUGAGUUAUAGAAAAAAAAGUCAGUCGAAAUAAAGAGAAACAACUUGUGUGAAAGAACGCAUUUAAUCGCUCAAA